rnacentral:lncRNA from 1 species
AAUUUUUUUUAAAAAUUUAUAUAUAACCUAUUAAGUGUAAAAAGAAGGGCCUUCAGAAAUAUGGGUUGCUUUACCUGCUUUAUGGAUGGGACGCCCUUGACUUAAUGUUAUGUGCAAAAAACUCGCAGUUGUUUGUUAGAUCUCAAUUUUAUGUCUUGAACGUUUGAAGUAAUAUUCUUGGAAUUCUGAUUUGCCUUGAAUAGUCCGAUGUUCCUUUUCUGGUAAAUUGAGAUUCUAUUUGAGGAAUGAAAAUCACGCGUUCUUGGAGCAUCUUCUCACCAGUUUCCAGCCACAAAAUCCCCCUAAAAGAAGCUCGAAAAAGUCUCUAAACUCGCACCAAAUAACCCCCAAAUAAUGCUGAAGCUAGAUCUAAAAGAGCAGCUCCCUUUUCUUCAUCCCAAACAAAAUCGACACCCAGCAAUAGCCAUGAAAUUUGCUCGAAAUCAACCUCAAUAACUAGUAGAAAGCAGCCACAAAUAGCUCAUUUUCAGUUUGUUCGUCGUCGAGUUUCGGGCGAGUUAGAGGUCCGUUGAGUUCCGACGAGGUUUUCAGCGCAAAGUCGGAUCAUAUUCUCGGGUUCGAGUUCAUUGUUGAGGAAUUGGAAAUCGACAUUGAGUCCUAUCAUGUUUAGUCAUUGGUACCGGCGUAAGUUUUGCGAUUACACAUUUCUGUUUUUAGAAUUUGCUUCCGUAACUUUGUAGUUAUUCGAUUCUCUUUCAAAUGUUGCUUCUUUUUCAAUGGUAUAAUGCAAUUGGUUGUUAUAUUCUAUUUGUGAUGUCUCGCUGAGUUAAUUUUGAUGGUACCAUCAUAACAACAUUGCGAAUUGUUUGCUUAUUUCUCUGAUUGAGGAAUGAAAAAGGUUUUUGCAUUAGAG